CAGUAGCCGCGGUAAUACGAAGGGGGCUAGCGUUGUUCGGAAUUACUGGGCGUAAAGCGUGCGUAGGUGGUGGUUUAAGUCCGUUGUGAAAGCCCUGGGCUCAACCUGGGAAUUGCAGUGGAUACUGGGUCACUAGAGUGUGGUAGAGGAUAGUGGAAUUUCCGGUGUAGCAGUGAAAUGCGUAGAGAUCGGAAGGAACAUCUGUGGCGAAGGCGACUAUCUGGGCCAACACUGACACUGAGGCACGAAAGCGUGGGGAGCAAACAGGAUUAGAUACCCGCGUAGUCCCUGUCUCUUAUAC
rnacentral:rRNA from 1 species